rnacentral:rRNA from 1 species
GUGGGGAAUUUUGGACAAUGGGGGCAACCCCGAUCCAGCCAUUCCGCGUGAGUGAAGAAGGCCUUCGGGUUGUAAAGCUCUUUCGUCAGGAACGAAACGGCGGGCUCUAACAUAGCCUGUUAAUGACGGUACCUGAAGAAGAAGCACCGGCUAACUACGUGCCGGCAGCCGCGGUAAUACGUAGGGUGCGAGCGUUAAUCGGAAUUACUGGGCGUAAAGCGUGCGCAGGCGGAUUGUUAAGCAAGACGUGAAAUCCCCGGGCUUAACCUGGGAAUGGCGUUUUGAACUGGCAGUCUAGAGUGCGUCAGAGGGGGGUGGAAUUCCACGUGUAGCAGUGAAAUGCGUAGAGAUGUGGAGGAACACCGAUGGCGAAGGCAGCCCCCUGGGAUGACACUGACGCUCAUGUACGAAAGCGUGGGUAGCAAACAGGAUUAGAAACCCUGGUAGUCC